UUGAGUUUGAUCCUGGCUCCAGCGAACGCUGGCGGCAUGCUUAACACAUGCAAGUCGAGCGGGGGUAGCAAUGACUCCCUCGCAGACUGGUGAGUAACACGUGGGAACGUACCUUUUGGUUCGGAACAGCUGAGGGAAACUUCAGCUAAUACCGGAUACCCCCUAACGGGGAAAGAUUUAUCGCCGAAAGAUCGGCCCGCGUCUGAUUAGCUAGUUGGUGAGGUAAUGGCUCACCACGGCGACGAUCAGAAGCUGGUCUGAGAGGAUGAUCAGCCCCACUGGGACUGAGACACGGCCCGGACUCCUACGGGAGGCAACAAUGGGGAAUAUUGGACCACGGGGGCAACCCUGAUCCAUCCAUGCCGGGGGGGUGAUGAAGGCCCUCGGGUCCCCCAGCUCUUUUGUGGGGGAAAAUAAUGACGGUACCUUUCGAAUAAGCCCCGGCAAACUUCGUGCCAGCAGCCGCGAUAAUACCAAGGGGGCUACCGUUGCUCGGAAUCACUGGGCGUAAAGGGUGCGUCGGCGGGCCUUUUUAUUAGGGGUGAAAUCCUGGAGCUCAACUCCUGAACUGCCUUUGAUACUGACCUAUCUUGGGUCCCGAAGAGGUGAGUGGAACUGCGCAUGUCCAGGUGAAAUUCGCAAAUAUUCUUAAGAACAUCAGUGUCGAAGGCGGCUCACUGGUCCGGUACUGACGCUGAGGCACGAAAGCGUGAGGAGCACAAAGAUUAACUACGCUGACAGUC
rnacentral:rRNA from 1 species